UUCAACCAGUCGGACCGGUUCAACCGUUAUUGAACCGUUUACAUUGAACCGUUCAUAUAAUUUUAUUAUAAUAACAAAAUAGAAUGAAUUUUUUUUUUCUCUAUAACAAACUAACAAAACACAACUUAAGAAAGUAAUAAAUAAAUAAAUAUUAAAUAAAAUAAAAAGAAUAAUACUUAGCUCAACAAUAAGCCCAAUUUAUUAGUGAAAAAAGAACAUACUUAACCCAAGCCCAUUUACUAAACCCUAAAUAUAAAUAUCUAAUCUAGUCUUAGUAUAUAUACAAUACAAACAAUAUGCAAAUGUAAUCAGCCGUCACUUCAUCUUUCUCUUCUCACGUGAGUUUUUUUUUUUUCUUUCUUAUUUUUUAUUG
rnacentral:lncRNA from 1 species